rnacentral:rRNA from 1 species
GUCGUAGGGCCGGAUGUAUAAAAAUAUAAUCCACACUGUUC